rnacentral:rRNA from 1 species
ACGGGAGGCAGCAGUGAGGAAUAUUGGUCAAUGGACGAGAGUCUGAACCAGCCAAGUAGCGUGAAGGAUGACUGCCCUAUGGGUUGUAAACUUCUUUUGUGCGGGAAUAAAAAACGGAACGUGUUCCGUCUUGCAGGUACCGCUUGAAUAAGGACCGGCUAAUUCCGUGCCAGCAGCCGCGGUAAUACGGAAGGUCCGAGCGUUAUCCGGAUUUAUUGGGUUUAAAGGGAGCGUAGGCGGAUGUGCAAGCCAGCCGUAAAAUCGUUGAGCUCAACUCAAUCUCGCGGUUGGAACUGCAUGUCUUGAGUGCGGCAGAGGUAGGUGGAAUUCGUGGUGUAGCGGUGAAAUGCAUAGAUAUCACGAAGAACUCCGAUUGCGAAGGCAGCUUACUGGACCGUAACUGACGCUGAUGCUCGAAGGUGUGGGUAUCAAACAGGAUUAGAUACCCUGGUA